GGAAACAAAAGGAGAACAAGAGUUUCUUCUUAGCAGGAACAAAACAUAGGCUCAGUGGUUUACACGGAAGUUUCCUUUUGAACUUGAGUUCUGGGGGAGAAGUCCUUCAUCAAGCUAUAUGAAUUGCACUCUAGAAAUCAAUCCAGAUGUGACAAGCCUACAGGAGUACUGCAAGAACAGCCAACAUAAAAAUGUUCAGUAAAAUUGUUCAGAAGUAAAAGAGUCCCUGAGUGCACUGUCCAAGCCAUUGUGCUUCACUCCAUGUAGCCAAGAUGGGUCAUUGAUCUUCUGGCUUCCCCAGCAAUGUUGACAGGCUUCUCACCCUUUUCGUAGAGCAGCAAUCAUCUGAGAAUUAACACCUGCCUACCACUAUAUUCUUGAGGACUUUUUUGCACAUACCAAGUCCCAUCUCCUUGUUAGUCAUCCAUGUCUCGAUUUUUUUUCACAUGAAUGGGUUUAUGUGUGACAUCCAUUAAGAAAACUACAGGGUAUAAAGUGCUGGGAAAAAAAUAAAAAAGACUAAUGUUGCCAAUGUGUUUCUAACUUCAGCAAGUCUUUAUUGAUGCUUCAUUAGUAACAUACAGAGACAUAAAGAAGGUGUGAGCUGGGCUUGGCAACAUAUUACUGACUGUCUUUAUCAUAUAUAAAAAACAGGCUUUGCAUAAAGAGAAAGCAUCAUGCUAAAUCUAUGUUCAAAAUUAUUCCUCUCAUUCCACACCCCUUCUCCCCGAGCCCCAACAUUUCUUCUUCAAAAGAUAAAUGUGAAGGUCAGGAGUAAAACUGAAACAAUCAGCCCAUUUCUACUGUGGCAAAAAAAAACCGUAAAUGUUUCCAGGGAAAACAGAGUGAAGACAAGGUUGAAAUUUCCAAUCUGAGGGCUGAUGUGCAAGGCUGCCAGCAUGGAUUACAGUCAUGAAAAAGACUGAUGCAUUUAGUGUCUCAUCAUGUAGAAGGACCCAUCUGUAUCAUUGGUAUAGUAUUUAUCACUGCUUUUAGAAAUAUUAGAUAUCUGACUUCUCUGUUUCUGAAUCAGGAACCCUGAAAGAAGAAGAAGAUCAACUUUUAAAGAAGGAAUGCAGAAAAAUGAGAGGGGAAAGGAUUUCAAACACGGGAUUUGGGCUUCUUAACUCCUACUUGCUUCUAAUAAAAAAUAAAGUGCAUAGAGAGCUGUGUGAAAGGCACUCCCCCUUGUCCUUCUAAAUAGAGGUUGACCAAAACUUUAUUCAAACUUAUAUCUAUUUCAAUGAACCUUCAGAGAAAAUUAAAAGAAUAAGAGACUGAAAACAAUUACCACGUUCACAUCCCUAGCAUUUCAUAAAAAUCUUUUCAGACUUUUUUUAAGAAUGGAAGGUGCGGAGUGGCAAAGUAUAUCCUUUUCCUCUUUUGAGCACCAUAUAUUUGUGUAUAGAGAACUCCAUUACUUUUGAUAACAUACAUUAAAUAUCUGUCAGCUAUCUGAACCCUGGUUCCCCUCUCUCCCAAGGCUGAGUGAGAACCAGGACUUUCCUGGGGAAUUCAACAUUCUCAUUUCUGUAGCAUAGUUCUGUUCUCCCAGUUUACUGACACAUCCUAUAAAUCAGUGAAAGUAACCUAACAUAUGGUUUAAAGACAAACACAUAGGCAGAUAUAUCCAGCCAAAACGAAGUCAGUAUCUCCUGAGGCAGCAAGACAAAGGAAAUUUGGUCUGAGCCUUUGCAUACAUCUGCAGCUUGGUAUAAAUGAUAUGGCAUACUUUAUCUGAAUUUCACUCACCUCUUUUUCUUCUUUCUUCUUUCCAUUAUGUUCUUUUUACCUUCCUGAGGACUCCAGUGGACACUGUCAGUAGCCCUAAGACACAGCCAAGCAAAUUCCCUUGCAAGUCUAGUUCAUGCCCGCUCCUUGAAAUGAAAUGAAGGUGGCCGUGCAGGAGUGGAAGGAGUUCAGCAAUAUGUAUUACAGAGAGCCAGGCCAUAGACAACUGCAUUCUGUUACAAUGAUAGGCUCUGGUUUUAUGUGUAUUGCCUUGGACAAAUCACCCCCACUGUCAUUUUCACAUGCAGCUUCAGGGACAGAGGAACAUUGCUUCAGCUCUGCUUUUGUGCACUUAAUAGUUGUGGACAAAGGAGUCGGCAACCUGAAAUUAAGCCUGUAAAAAGGAUGGUGCCCAACGCUUUACAUUCUGGUCUGGACUGGCUCAUUCACACUGUUUCCUUGGGCUCAUCAUAACCCACGAUAACUCUGGGAAAGUUGGAAAAACUGCCCUUUCUCAGGCCACAACAGCAGAAACCUCCAAGAGAUUAAGCUGCUGACUCGUCCUUCAGUCUACUGAAAAUGGAGACAACUCCCACACCAAAAUGCACGUUAAAUCAUAUAUUCCUCUGAAAGUAGUAGUUCUCCAGUCCUACCUUCCCCUCAUCUACCAUCUGGUUCAAAGACAUAGACAUACCACACUGCCUUCAGAUUUAAGACAAACUAUUUUAUGAAGAGCAUAAGACAAUGAAGCAUUGGCCACUGUUGGCUUUGAUUAGUUAUUUCAUUCUUUACUAAAGUUUACAUGCUGAAAUUAAAACUGCAAAGCACAAGGGGAAAAAUAACAGUUACUUAUAUACCAAGAUCUUUAAUCUGAAAACAUGAAAGAAAUAUUUAUUUACAAUUUCGAUAUUGAGUAGUGCUUAAAAAAAAAAAUCACCUUGCUUGAAGGUAUUCUGUUGAUUUAUUUAUAUUCCUAUUGCUACUUUCUUUAUAAACAUGGCACUGGAGCCACCACUGGUACUCCUCUGCGUUAUUGGUGUGAGCAGUAGGAGUAACACACUUCCAGUUAGCACCUGUUGGAAUGAUUACAAAGAGGCAGGCAGUCUGUGAAUUAAGUCUCAUACUUCUGUUUGUUGGUAUUUUUUUUUCAACUUCACACAUCUCUUUUUAGCAUAUUUCCUUCCUUUCUUGAACUACGUCCAAGAACUUCACAUAAAUGGAAUAAUCCACGGAUGCUAAAUACUGAAAUGUAAACAUACAAACACUGUGAUUAGUUCCUCAAACUCUGAUGAAAGCUGUUGUGUGUUUUUUGAAGAUUAUUAAAAAUAAACAUCUUACAAAAGACAUUUACAAUUUGCCACCUUUGAUUCCCACUCCUACCUCACUGAUUUUUUUUGGCAGCAGCCAGUGCAAUGGAGAUGUGGAAGAGCAGAUAUUGCUUAAGGGAAUUACUCUUUUUUUCCUAGAUUACAAAUGACACCAUGUUGCAAAACACAACUAAAAUGAGAUUUCUUAAUAAGACAGGUCAAGCAGAAGUUCUAAAAUCUGUUUUCUUUCCUUACCAAAGAAGAAAUGGGUUCAGCUCGUAUCCAAGACACAGAGAGUAUUAAAGUCCAGGACUUGCUUGAGCCCUUCCUGUUCGUUUUCAUUUUAUUUUAUUUUAUUUUAUUUUAUUUUAUUUUAUUUUAUUUUAUUUUAUUUUAUUUUUGCUUCAGCAUAUAUAAUAAGAAACUCAGCUACUGCUGUGAGUAUCAGUAAAUGACAACCUGCUAAAUACUGUGAAUCACAUGUUUUAAAAAAUGGAACAAACCAAUACUGCAUUAGUUUUGGUUUGGCACAGCUCCAUUAUGGCCGCUGCUUUCGGGUGGAAGGCAGUUUGGAGAGCUGCCAGCAGCACUGCUAAAGCAAACAAGCCAUAAAAUCUAGCACACAGUGGGAAAGAACAAAAUUAUUUUGGCAAGAAAAUGCUGUCAGCAACAACACAGCAUCCUCACAUACAAUUUUAAACACCCCUACAUUAUCGCGUAACACUUUAAAACUCUUUAAUACAGUAUAAACUUGUCCAUCUUAAAUAACAAAAUUAACAGCUGACAGCUUUUUCCAUUAUUGCUUCUUUCCCACAUAUUCAUUAGUGCUGUCUGACAUUCCUUGUUAAGUACAUUCCCCAGAGUGACAAAUGUGUCUAGUAGUGUGCAUGCUUAAUACACUACGGUAACAAAACUCUUCUUAGGUUUUUCCAUGUACUAACUGCCUUUCCAAAUUGAUUUAUAGCUUUUGCCAGAGGUGUUUUAUUCAUGCUACGUGGAAUGCAGAGAAGCCACGUAGUUAACUACCCAUGAAAACGCUAACAGUUGCAGAAAAAAACAUUUGCAAAACAUAAAAGAGGAAUACUGGUUGCCUGUCCAACACUUACAGAAGUGACUUUACUUUUGCUACCAAGCCAGGGUAGUCAAUACAAGCAUGCAAUUAUUUUCAUCUCUGCAUAUGGUGCAAGACUAAUUAUUCCACCUCUGUCUCCUUAUAGAUCCACUAUGAAAUUCCAGUCAGAGAUCCAUAGUCAGAUGUAACCAAGCAGUAUUUCAUGCAUGCUAUCAUUUGUCUUAAAAUUACAGUUCUAAAGUGCAAGAUUUAUCAGUGCUAUUAUUGUUCCUGUAAACAACUCAAAACCCCUUUCAAAUAGAAUUCUUAUCUUUCUUUCAUUGGUCAGUCAUGUACUUCGAUAAUCUGUGUGGAGUGAUCAUUAGCCAAACCGGAUCAGAGUACAAUAGUACCCCACAUACUUCUA
ensembl:lncRNA